rnacentral:rRNA from 1 species
UACGGAGGGUGCAAGCGUUAUCCGGAUUCACUGGGUUUAAAGGGUGCGUAGGUGGGUUGGUAAGUCAGUGGUGAAAUCCCCGAGCUUAACUUGGAAACUGCCAUUGAUACUAUCAGUCUUGAAUAUUGUGGAGGUCAGCGGAAUAUGUCAUGUAGCGGUGAAAUGCUUAGAUAUGACAUAGAACACCAAUUGCGAAGGCAGCUGGCUACACAUAUAUUGACACUGAGGCACGAAAGCGUGGGGAUCAAACAGG